UUGAACGCUGGCGGCAUGCCUUACACAUGCAAGUCGAACGGUAGAGGGGCAACCCUUGAGAGUGGCGAACGGGUGAGUAAUAUAUCGGAACGUGCCCAGUCGUGGGGGAUAACGCAGCGAAAGCUGCGCUAAUACCGCAUACGAUCUAUGGAUGAAAGCGGGGGAUCGCAAAGACCUCGCGCGAUUGGAGCGGCCGAUAUCAGAUUAGGUAGUUGGUGGGAUAAAAGCCCACCAAGCCGACGAUCUGUAGCCG
rnacentral:rRNA from 1 species